AAAGGUUUAGAGGUGGAUUUAAAAAAAAAAACCCAUCCUUCUCCUCUAUCUUUGGCUCUCUCUCUCACGCUAACUGCCUCCCUCUCUGUAAAAAUUUGAUAACUCCUCUACUCCCUUCGAUCAGUUACCAUGACAACUCCGGCCCCUCCACUAUGAUACGAGUAGCACACACCACCAAUCGCAGCUCUCAAUUUCCCCUAAUUUCUCUUAAUUUUGGAGCUUAGAUUGCAAACCCACCUCCACUUAGCUUCCAAAAUAGUUGAAAUUAAAGGAGAACCAGGUUCCAGUGCAAAUAACAAAGGAGAUGACAAGAUCAUGGAGUAAAUGAAUAAAUACAUGGAGUUUUAUUGAUCUGUACAGAGUAUAGUGGCGAGAGAUCUCGCUAGAUGGGCAGUUGUGCGUGUCAAGUCAUUGUCUUAUUUGUCGAGGAAGUUAAAGUGGUUUGGACGUGGCAUGUUCAAGUUGAGGAUAUGUAGAUAUAUUAAUUGCUAGUUUUCUUUGUUGUAGCAGGUUGCAAUUAAUGUAAGUGUCCUUAGAAAAAAAAAACACACAGUAGGAAAGACUUAUUCAUAAUAAGAGGUGAACAUAUAAAAAAUGUGACACUAAUUAUUCAUUUUCAUAAAACGAGUAAGGGGUGUUGCACUGCGAGUA